rnacentral:rRNA from 1 species
UACGGGGGGAGCAAGCGUUGUUCGGAUUUACUGGGCGUAAAGGGCGCGUAGGCGGCCAGCACAAGUCAGUUGUGAAAUCUCCGAGCUUAACUCGGAAAGGUCAACUGAUACUGUGCGGCUAGAGUGCGGAAGGGGCAACUGGAAUUCUCGGUGUAGCAGUGAAAUGCGUAGAUAUCGAGAGGAACACCAGUGGCGAAGGCGAGUCCCUGGACAACUCCUGACACUGAGGCACGAAAGCUAGGGGAGCAAACAGG